rnacentral:hammerhead_ribozyme from 1 species
AUCUGGCUGAUGAGUCCCAAAUAGGAUGGAACGCACGUCCUGGAU